rnacentral:rRNA from 1 species
CCUACGGGUGGCAGCAGUGGGGAAUAUUGCACAAUGGGGAAACUCUGAUGCAGCGACGCCGCGUGAGUGAAGAAGUAAUUCGUUAUGUAAAGCUCUAUCAGCAGGGAAGAAAAUGACGGUACCUGAGUAAGAAGCCCCGGCUAACUACGUGCCAGCAGCCGCGGUAAUCCCUAGGGCGCAAGCGGUAAUCGGAUUUACUGGGUGUAAAGGGAGCGUAGAUGGCAGUGCAAGGCUGGAGUGAAAGGCGGGGGCUCAACCCCCGGACUGCUCUGGAAACUGUACGGCUGGAGUGCAGGAGAGGUAAGUGGAAUUCCUGGUGUAGCGGUGAAAUGCGUAGAUAUUAGGAGGAACACCAGUGGCGAAGGCGGCUUACUGGACUGUAACUGACGUUGAGGCUCGAAAGCGUGGGGAGCAAACAGGAUUAGAUACCCCAGUAGUC